rnacentral:rRNA from 1 species
AGAAUCAACGCUGGCGGCGUGCCUAACACAUGCAAGUCGCACGAGAAAGGGUAGCAAUACCUGAGUAAAGUGGCGCACGGGUGAGUAACACGUGAAUGAUCUACCUCCGAGUGGGGAAUAACUGAGAGAAAUCUUGGCUAAUACCGCAUAAUACCCACGGGUCAAAGCAGCAAUGCGCUUGGAGAGGAGUUCGCGGCCGAUUAGCUAGUUGGCGGGGUAAUGGCCCACCAAGGCGAUGAUCGGUAUCCGGCCUGAGAGGGCGCACGGACACACUGGAACUGAAACACGGUCCAGACUCCUACGGGAGGCAGCAGUGGGGAAUUUUGCGCAAUGGGGGAAACCCUGACGCAGCAACGCCGCGUGGAGGAUGAAGCCCUUUGGGGUGUAAACUCCUUUCGAUCGGGAAGAUUAUGACGGUACCGAUAUAAGAAGCCCCGGCUAACUUCGUGCCAGCAGCCGCGGUAAUACGAGGGGGGCGAGCGUUGUUCGGAAUUAUUGGGCGUAAAGGGUGCGUAGGCGGUUUGGCAAGUCUUAUGUGAAAUCUAUGGGCUCAACCCAUAGUCUGCAUGAGAAACUGCCGGGCUUGAGUAUGGGAGAGGUGAGUGGAAUUUCCGGUGUAGCGGUGAAAUGCGUAGAUAUCGGAAGGAACACCUGUGGCGAAAGCGGCUCACUGGACCAUAACUGACGCUGAGGCACGAAAGCUAGGGGAGCAAACAGGAUUAGAUACCCUGGUAGUCCUAGCCCUAAACGAUGACUGCUUGGUGUGACGGGUACCCAAUCCCGCCGUGCCGUAGCUAACGCGUUAAGCAGUCCGCCUGGGGAGUACGGUCGCAAGGCUGAA